UUCACCUAAUAACUCUCCAAGGAAAAAAAUCAGCGUGUACAUUCUCUCCCUCUCUCAACAUAGCCCACACCUUUGAUUCUUCAUUAACCUUCUUGAAUGUUCUCUACUUCUCUGCCUCUCUCUGUUUUUUCACAUUAUCUUUUCAAAAGAGUUACUGCAAAACCCAAGUUAACAGAUCAUCCAAGAGUUGCUGCUAAUAUCAUCAAUAGAAGGAGAAAAUUUGUUUGUUCAACCAUAUAAACAUUCGAUGAGAAGAUGUGGCGUGUAUUUAUACACGUUCCAGACUGGUGUGGCACCAACAUGCCUUCAAAAUUAUAGGUAUCUCAACCAAGAAUAUGCAUAAAGGAAUUGGAAGCGCUAAACACUUCAACAGACAAGAAAGUACACUUUAUGGCAUAUGUUGAUGGAAGUGGUAGAGAUUUGAUGAUCGUUAAAACAGCUUUAGGGGACUUAUGUUGAUAUUUACUAUGACAAAGAUUUGUAGUAUAACAAUUUGUGAAAAGUUGUAAUGAGUAUUGUAAUUGGUAGUGUUGGCACAAUUAUGCCGUCUCCAUA